UUGCAUGCACCACUGCCAUUUGUCUGCGUAGUACACAGAACACACAGUGAGACAUUUUGCUUGAGGCAUUGUUGUGCAUCUUAGUUCAUAACCUCUAAGAAGGUUAGCAUUGUCAUUGCCUCUCACGUUAUAUUGCAUUGUGGCAGAAGUGUCAAACUUUAAUUGAAUUAUGGGGCUGUAUGUGCCAAAAGCACAAUCGGAUUAAUAAGGCAUGCCAUAGUGACGGACUAUGGAUUAAUUUGACCCCCUAGGGUUCUUUAAUGAGCACCUGAAUGUAAGUACAGAGGCGUUUUUGUAUUUCAUCCCCAUCGAAAUGUGGCUGCCGUGGUCAGGAUUGAACCCGCGACCUCGAGCAAUGCCACAGCCACAAAGCUAGCACGGCAGGCACAGAAGUGUUGAUUUAACAUGCAAUUGCUUCCGUAGUGUUGCCUAGAUGCUAAGGUACUUUAAUGCAGCUUCGUGACUGUACGCUGUGCAUCAGUUGUCCGCUUGACAAAUUUGCACGGUGUUUAUUUUUCAGAAAUAGCAGAAAUGUACUGUACCGUACCUUGAACUUUUGCCCGCAACCGCUCUCGUAUAGCGUUUACUCACCUUCUCACAUUGCCUUUUCCCUCUCCCACCCUCCCCCAUGUAUGGGAACUGCAAGUGAAGAGUGGCAAGGCUGUCAUUCACUCAAUUCGUGGCUGCGUUGGCUCUACCCAAUGUCUGCCUCCAUCUCUACCUCCUCUCAACCAUUCCAUCUACCUCUCCUCUGGACUGUUGCACAUCAGUAGAAAUGUAAAUGCAGCAGUUUCUGCAAUGCUUUUGUGAAGGGUCACGGAUAAUUACAGCUGUCAGGAGUGUAUUAUGGCAACAUCCAGGGAGCUCCAGAGGGCAUUGUGCACAUGUGACACGAUGAAAAGGUCCAAACAAGUUUCUCACGUCGCUCUGCCAUGCUUCUGCAAUGUAUAUGCACGCUCUGAAUCGCCUACUGACGUGGUGUGCAAGACAGCAACAGCAGCAGCAGUGGAAAGUUGAAGAGGCAAAGAAAGCUUCUCUUUAAAUUAUCAAACAAGUUUGCACAUUCAUUGGUCUAAUUUGGUGUGUAAAAAGUUUAAUCCAGUAAGCCAGCACAGUAUAAACUACUAGUGCUGGUACUCAGUCAGUUGAGCUAGCUGUAUGCUUACUGAAACUUGUGGAGGCAAGUGCUGGGGACAGCAAGCAGUGUUGGUACCAUGACUGCCAGCAAAUGAAGCACAUCAGCAUAACAGUAUGUGCACAUCAUGCUUGAAGAGUUAUUGCUGUCAGUUUUAUACUGCCUAGGAUGGUAGUACAUGACAUAAAGUUAAGCGCAAGGGGCGGCACUGUUACUGCACUCAUAUUGGCAAGGGGUAUGUUCUUGAAAUAUUUUUGGAAUAAAAUAUAAAAUCGUGUUUGUGUGUUUGAACCCUCAAAAUGUUUACUCUAAGUCCUAAAAAGGAGUUUUACACAGCAAGGCAGAGAGGCUAUAAAUGUUGCAGUCGGGGAGGGUAAUUUUAAUGGGUCUCUCGCCAAGCUUAGGCACUCAAAACUAGAGUGGUGCGUAGAUUAUACGAGGGUGAUUGUGUUUGCAAAAUAUUAAACCAGUGUUUGCUGCAAGAACAGUCAAAAAUUAAAACAAAAGCCUACGUGCCCUUAUUUUCAGAGCAGCCAGUCUUCUUGCCAGCAGACGCAACAUCACAGCUCUUGUCUAUCACAUAAUGCGUACCUCUUGCAGUGCACAAAUAGCCAGCAGCAACGCGAUCAUGGGAAUUCCCAUGAAACGUAAAGCACGCAAAAUCAUGACUAUAAACAUCCCAUGCAACAAGAAGGGAGGAAAAAGAAAGAUGGCAGGGCCCUUUAUGUUGAUGGCAGGGCCCUGGGCUUCGUAUAGGAGAAUGCACGAGGGAACUGUUACCAACGCUGCGUCAGGCAAUGAGGGAAAGCCUCUACUAUAGGGAGGGUUGCUCACUUCUUUGCGCCAUCUCCUUGCACCAUUUAUUUGCUCCUAUAUAGGCUAUUACUAAACUCUAUUAAAAAAGAUAGAAACCUUUGCGGAUGUACACUGGAACCUUGUUAUAAUGAAAUAAUGGAUAGAACAAAGUAAAUAACAUUCCCCUUGAAAUAGCCAUUGAGAUCCAUGUAUUUAGACACUUGUUUUAAUGCAGUAAAAUUGUCCUGCCAAUGGAUAUAACAAACUAGAUUCAUAUCCAAAACCAAAGAAUACCCCACCGUUGUGAGCCGAGUACAGUGGUUUCCACGCGUUUUGGCACUCGUUCACCGCUGCAGUUCAAAACUCUAGCGUCCCCGUGUUGAAUAUGCCGGCAAGCAACACUGGUUUUUCUCACCACUGCACAUAGAUGCACACAAGGAGCGGCUCACUAUCACACUUUUCCACUGGCCUCUCUCUGACUGCGGCAUGCCACGCAGGCAGACGCAACUGGGCAAGUCAAGCUGUGCCACGCUACACAGCAGUGCAAAAGAUUAUCAUUUCUAUCUCUCUUUGGCUCGCCACACAGUCUGGCAGCUGGGCAUGGCCUCCAAGAUCGCAUUGUCAAUGCAAGAUCACAGUGGCACUACGCCUGAGAUUCUUCAUUGUUUUAUUAAAAUUUCAUCGCACACGUGGCCGUGUAAUGAUUCUGUGGCCCACAAAGCUGCAUUUGUAUUUUCAUGUUUACAAUUGUGCACUCCACUGGGCAUAUAUUGAACAAAAGGGCAAUGAUGGACAUAACAAAUUAUUUUGGCUCCCUCUUCAACUUUAUUAUAGCAAGGUUUUAGUGUAUAUUCAAGAUGUAUAUAAGAUCUAUAUCAAUCCAAGCAACUCGUGCAUCAAAGACAGUGAAGCUGUACAAGGAAGUCCUCACACCCUUUGUAAGUCCUAGGGAUCUGUUUUGCCAUUGUCCAAAAUCUAUGCAAGUCUUUGCAAGCACUUCACUAUACCCAGUGCAAUUCCUUUGCUAUAUCAGAUUCUUUUCAAUGCUUUACUCUAUCUGAGUUUUGUACAGGAACCUGAACUGCUCCUGUAAAAUAAUUAAAAGUAAAACGGUUCAACAUGGCAUUAACAUUUCUAAGAUCAGAUACUAAAGCUGAUCUUAGCCAAAAGGCCCAGACGCAAUAAUCACAAAAUGUUUGUCUAUUUGAGCCCCUCCUGGCUAACCUUUAAUGUGGAGCUGGUGAAAUGCGAUGUGAGAAACAAAAGAACAAAAAUCACGGAUAUCUGGCUAAGAUAAACUUUGCGAAGAAGUUUUCUAUUAUGUUUCAAAGAAAAUUUGGGGCUCCCACGCAGGCUGCAUUGCUUGCUGUUCUUUUAUUUACAUUCAACCAUGCCACCGUACACCACCAUUAGCUUUCACUGCUGCUGCAUGAAACUGUUGAGGAACUUCCCUUAACAGCUUCACUGUAAAAUUCUCGCUAUAUUCACUAUAUUCCCCCUGAACAACUUUCAGUGUGUAAUCGUAGUUUCCGAGCAGACCUGGUAAAAAAAAAUUUAACCAUUACCACAUAUGAACAUCGUGCUGUUCAAUAUUCUAAGAGCUUACAGUGUGGCCCCUACAUCAUAGCAGAAGUGGUUGACAGUGCUGCCUAAGUCCACCGGAACAUUCAACUACUGCAGUGGUUCUAUGGCCAAGCAGUGCAGAAACUGAACAAACAUGGGUGUUAUAAAACCAAGAGCACCGACUUUUGGGCUAGUUGGUUAUGCAUAGCAGAUCACGGUCAAGCGUGCACAAACAAGGACAAAGUGAGGAGUAGACAACACAGGUGCUUACUUCCAACUGAUCGUGUAUCUACAAAAUUGCAUCAUAUGAAUUUCAUAUGAGCUUCAUCAAUAUGAAUUUUAUCAUAAGAAAAUUGAAUGAAAGACUUCUAGAACACAGGAGGAAGGUGGCGAAUUACCGCGAUGGGAAUCUUUCCGUACAUUGUCAUGACUGUGGAAUAAAGAACAAGAAGCCAUGUAAACCCUUGUUCAACAUGUGUAAGAUAGCAGCCAAAAAUAACAACCAGGGUGUUAGGGAGCUAACUGAAGCAGACUGCAUUAGAAAGGCGGGUGUGUCAUGCGUCAGCGCACCUUCUGUUUUUCUGUCGUCCAAAGAAACUAAGUUUCUGAGCAUGGCCACCUGAUGUCAGCAUUUCCGUCUUGUGACAUCAUGAAGGAAAGUAUUUAUAUGAUGCAAUUUUGUAAAUACACGAUCAGUUGAAAGUAAGUGCUUGUGUUGUCUACUCCUCACUUUGUCCUUGUUUGUGCGUGCUUGACUGUGAUCUGCUAUAAAACCAAACCCUUUAUCACACUACACCAGGUGUACCUGCAUUAUGGACUAAAAAAUUAUUCAUAAUGAUGUACAUAAAUUUGCUUAUGAUCAGUGAUGAACUCAUUAGUUAUAAGUUACUCAGUAAUAUUUCGUUAUUAACCAGCAGAAUUGAAGAUUGCCAUUACUGAAAGCAUGUCCAAAAUUUAGUAACCCCGGGACUAGUCCUUGUCACAAGGCAUUUGCCACAAAAUGUGUGGCAAAUGAUUCUGUAUUCCACUUCAUAGUUUCUCUAAAAAAAAACUAUUUGAGAUAAUACUAUGGUGAAAUGCACCAAUAUACUACCACAUUUUCCGCAAUAUAGUCUGCAGAGGGCAAUUUAGGCUUAAAAUAAGAAGCUUUUCUUGGAUAGUCCAUAACAGUAGGUUGUGGGGAUUGUGUUCCUCCAUUUCAUUGCAGUGUCAUAGUGCAGCAGGCUUUAGGCAUGGGGACCGUAUCAUGGCAAAGUCGCUUUCAAACUUGGCAUGCGCGGGCCACCGCUUUCCCUCUUUCUUUGCUCCAAGGGCACCAUACAGCAGCGGGGCCAUAAAGAAUUUGCUGCCAUCCACACUCAAGCAGACUGAGGACUCACACGAUUGGUCUGUUUGGGCGGGAACUUGCAUCCCCUCUCUCGUGGUGGCUCGAGCCGACCGUGAAAGCUGGGGCAUGGGGAGAAGCUCUCAGGCAACGAAAUGUGGAAACUGAACGAACGUCUGCUUCAAGCACACGCAACACAUGCUGCUGAGCUGGUCGUCCCCCUGAGGGCUUGGAUACUUGAACCUGCGCAGUGGUCUAGGUGAGCCCCGGUGGAUCACCACAAGAUGGAGACCACAAAGCCAGCCUGAGCCAUGGUCUUCAUUUCAAGAUGGUAGACAAUGGCCUCUCCCUGGGCGCCCAGCUGACAGACACGUGGAUGACGGUUCUCA